UGAUGAUGAUGAUGAUGAUGAUGAUGGUGAUGAUGAUGAUCAUCAUGAUGAUGAUGAUGAUCAUCAUCAUCAUCAUCAUCAUCAUUAUCAUCAUCA
rnacentral:pre_miRNA from 1 species